rnacentral:lncRNA from 1 species
AGAGGAAAGAAAAUAUCCUUCCCUUUCUUUAUAUGCUAGGAGCUUCUACAUUUUCUUUCCUGCUUCUCAGAUUUUGUGAACACUGACAUCUCUGGCAAAGUCCUGGACUGUCAGUGACUGGGGACAUGUGAUGCUCAGUGGAUCUGUCUCCAUGGCUGUGGUAUCAAUUCUUCAGGGCUCCUAAUAGCCAGUCAGGGUAAAUCAAGAAACCCGUGAUUAUUGUCUGUUCCUUUGAAAUGCCUCUGCUGCUGCUGCUGCUGCUGCAGGAAGAAAGACAGAGAGGCAUGCAGUCCUCGCACGCUGGCAUUGCUGUUGCCUGUUUUAACGAGCCAUGGCAACCAAGAAGAGAGGAUCCUGGGGCAUCUCAGCUCUCAGGGUGCCAUCUGCUGCGGCUCAGCUGAAAAAGCCCCCAUCUCCCCGUGUUUGGUGGGAAGGCGGUAGGAGGAGUGAAGCAGAUGUCUGCUUUCUGUCUCUGACAGGGGACCCAAUCCAUUGCUUUUUGACGUCAAUAGCACUGUGGCUUUUUCAAGGGCAUGCAUAUAUCUUGUCAAUGUAGCUUAACAAGCCUGCAUCACUUCUCUGCUCUGGUCUUGCACAGAUACAGAGCAUACAAACUGAUCCAUUGGAACGCAAAAUUACAACUUACAGAUUUAUGCAAGAGGGAUGACUGCAAAGUGCUUUGCAUGAGUAGUGUAAGAAGCUGAAAAUUGCUCCUGUUGUAGCUGUCAUAGACACGUUGUUUU